rnacentral:lncRNA from 1 species
AAUUGUGCGUUCGAUUACUAACUUUUCAUCAUACUGAGCGGAACUCCAGAAUCUUGGAAAAAGUCAGUUUACAAAAAUGUCUAAUUUAUGGUUAAGAAAUUGAAUAACAGUCAGCCAUUUCCCAUUUAUUCCUAUCAUAGCCUUUGUUUCACUGUUUGUUUUAAAUAAUUUUACCACCCAAUAAAAAAUCCCAUUUUGAUAAUAGGUAUUACUUUAUCUUCUAAAGUCAAGCAAAAUUAUUUUUUCCAGUGUAACACAAAUCAAGUCAAGGUGAAAAUUUCAGUAAUCGGAGAAAGUAACUGAGCUAUUUCUCAAACG